rnacentral:rRNA from 1 species
AACCGGAUUAGAUACCCUGGUAGUCCAUGCCGUAAACGAUGAGUGCUAAGUGUUGGAGGGUUUCCGCCCUUCAGUGCUGCAGCUAACGCAUUAAGCACUCCGCCUGGGGAGUACGACCGCAAGGUUGAAACUCAAAGGAAUUGACGGGGGCCCGCACAAGCGGUGGAGCAUGUGGUUUAAUUCGAUGCUACGCGAAGAACCUUACCAGGUCUUGACAUCUUCUGCCAACCUAAGAGAUUAGGCGUUCCCUUCGGGGACAGAAUGACAGGUGGUGCAUGGUUGUCGUCAGCUCGUGUCGUGAGAUGUUGGGUUAAGUCCCGCAACGAGCGCAACCCUUAUUGUUAGUUGCCAGCAUUCAGUUGGGCACUCUAGCAAGACUGCCGGUGACAAACCGGAGGAAGGUGGGGAUGACGUCAAAUCAUCAUGCCCCUUAUGACCUGGGCUACACACGUGCUACAAUGGACGGUACAACGAGUCGCGAAACCGCGAGGUCAAGCUAAUCUCUUAAAGCCGUUCUCAGUUCGGAUUGUAGGCUGCAACUCGCCUACAUGAAGUUGGAAUCGCUAGUAAUCGUGGAUCAGCAUGCCACGGUGAAUACGUUCCCGGGCCUUGUACACACCGCCCGUCACAUCAUGAGAGUUUGUAACACCCAAAGCCGGUGAGGUAACCUUCGGGGACCAGCCGUCUAAGGUGGGACAGAUGAUUAGGGUGAAGUCGUAACAAGGUAACC